rnacentral:rRNA from 1 species
UGCGCCCUACGGGACGCAGCAGUGAGGAAUAUUGGUCAAUGGGCGGAAGCCUGAACCAGCCAAGUCGCGUGAGGGAAGAAGGCCCUGCGGGUCGCAGACCUCUUUGGACGGGGAGCAAGGCCGCCGACGUGUCGGCGGAAGGAGAGUACCCGUAGAACAAGCAUCGGCUAACUCCGUGCCAGCAGCCGCGGUAAUACGGAGGAUGCGAGCGUUAUCCGGAUUUACUGGGUGUAAAGGGGGCACAGACGGCAGCGCAAGCCAGGAGUGAAAGCCCGGGGCCCAACCCCGGGACUGCUCUUGGAACU